ensembl:lncRNA
AGGCUUUUGAGUGUCCUUGCAAAGAAAGGUGGCUAUAUUGGUUGCUGAUUUGUUUUUGUUUUGUUUUUGAAUGUCAGAAAUGUAUAUUUGUGAAUGUGGAGAUGUUAUAUUGGUUUCACUGGUAAAAAUAAAUAAUUGAAAUGGGUAUAUAUUUGUUUUUUGUUAAGUUGCCUAAUAAUUAUGCACAGUAAUAGUCACCUGCACACACAGACACCCCCCUAAAAUAGCUAAAACUAAAAACUACUUCCAAAAACAUUUAGCUUUGAUAUUAAUGAGGUUUUUUUGGGUUCAUUGAGAACAUGGUCAUUGUUCAAUAAUAAAAUUAUCCCUCAAAAGUACAACUUGCCUAAUAAUUCUGCACUCCCUGUAAAUGUGUGUUCAUAUCAGAUAGUUCAGAACUGUUAAACUGGUAAACUUGCACAAGUUUAUUCUCCACAUCAGUGCUCAAUUUAAAAGUACUAGAAAAGGGAAAAAAUAUUUUAGACUGACAGUAAUCAAAUCUGCUGCUCUAAUACAGCGGUCCCCAACCAUUCUUGCACCACGGACAGGUUUAUGUCUAACAAUAUUUUCACUGACCGGCUUUUAAAGUGUUGCAGAUAAAUCCAAAAAAAAAAAUAAAACCAGUACCAGUACAAAAAAAGAGAAGAUUUAUUCAUAAGACACAGGAAAAGACCCGGGGAAACUGAGUUAACAAUAAAAACGAUAAAAUAAAAUAAUGAUUAAAAAAAAAAGAUAAAAACCCUGAAAAAAAAUCAACAUGUCAACCUAUCAACAACAUCUUUAUAUGCUUCAAACAAUGUAACAUGCAAGAAUCACUUUUCUGAUAAAACAAAGGUUAGGCACAAAAACAUUCGUAUUGUGCAAAAGUCUUCAGCCACCUCUCAGUUCUUUAUAUUUUACUAGCCAAAAAAAAAAAAAAAAGACUUUUGAUAACUGACAUGAGAUUGAAAGUCAAUAUUUGGUGUAUGAGAACUAUAAUAUUCCUUGCACUUCUUCCGUAAUUUCUUUAAUAUCCCUCAGAACGAAUUCUCCAGGCUUCUUGAAGGACAUUCAAAGCUCUCCUUUGGAUAUUUACUGCUUUUUUGUUUCACUAUUUGUCAAGAUCAUCCCACACUGCUUCAAUAUUGGUGAGGCUGAUUAAUGACUGAUAGCGCUCCUCUAAGUGUUUUCAGUAAAUGAAAUUAAAAUAAAAAGUCAUAAAAUGACAUAUAGGUGAACCAUAAAAAUGCCGACUGUGUAGUUUAAAUGAUGCCUUUUGUUAUCACUGUACUUACCCACCACUACUGAAGAUGGCAGAACAAAGACCACUUCUUCUACCCUAUUCUUUUGUCUUACAUUCAACAUUUUUCACAUAUUUUGACCAUUCUUUCUCUUCAACUCUUAACCCUGACAAUGCUUCCUUGUAUACUUUGUAUUUUUUUUUUAACCUCAAAAAAUAUCAGCUCUUCCUCCUCAUUCUCAGCUCUCCCCUUGAAUCGCUUCUCUAUUUCCCAUUUCUGUCUCUUGAAUUCCUCCAGUUUUCUCAUAUUUGCAUGUAAAUAUGCCGUCUGACUUCCUCGUCUCCGUUCUUUUCUUCCCUUCCUACCUCCCUCUAUCUUAC